rnacentral:rRNA from 1 species
GACGAACGCUGGCGGCGUGCUUAACACAUGCAAGUCGAACGGAAAGGCCCUGCUUGCAGGGUACUCGAGUGGCGAACGGGUGAGUAACACGUGGGUGAUCUGCCCUGCACUUCGGGAUAAGCCUGGGAAACUGGGUCUAAUACCGGAUAGGAGCCAUUUUUAGUGUGAUGGUUGGAAAGUUUUUUCGGUGUAGGAUGAGCUCGCGGCCUAUCAGCUUGUUGGUGGGGUAAUGGCCUACCAAGGCGGCGACGGGUAGCCGGCCUGAGAGGGUGGACGGCCACAUUGGGACUGAGAUACGGCCCAGACUCCGACGAGAGGCAGCAGUGGCAAAUAUUGCACAAUGGGCGCAAGCCUGAUGCAGCGACUCCGCGUGGGGGAUGACGGCCUUCGGGUUGUAAACUCCUUUCGCUAGGGACGAAGCUUUUUGUGACGGUACCUAGAUAAGAAGCACCGGCUAACUACGUG